rnacentral:rRNA from 1 species
GCAAGUCGAACGGACCUAUUUAUAGGUUAGUGGCAGACGGGUGAGUAACACAGGUAACUUACCCCUAAGACUGGCAUAACCAUCUGAAAAGGUGGCUAAUUCCAGAUAAUCUUGUUUAAUCGCAUGGUUUUACAAGGAAAUGUUUUUUCGCUUAGGGAUAGGCUUGUGCCUGAUUAGCUUGUUGGUAGGGUAAAGGCCUACCAAGGCUACGAUCAGUAGCUGGUCUGAGAGGAUGAAC